AGUACGUCGCACCACGUCUAAUCUUCAUUUACCAAGUGCUGACCUUUGGAUUGGUCAACACACGUACGUUGGGUGUUACGUCGAUGUAGCUGAAUACCGUGUCCUUCCACAUGGCUUGAUGAUUGACAAUAUACGCAUGACAGCCGAAACCUGCAAACUGCAUUGCCAAGGAAAAGAUUAUCCCUACUUUGGAACUCAGAAUGGAAAAGAAUGCUUCUGUGGGAAUGGCCUUAGACCUGGGACGAGCCCGGCACCAGAAACUGAAUGCUCUAUGCCAUGUACAGGAGA